GAAAAAAAAUGUAAUUUCCAUGGGACAUCUGUCUGUAGAGGUGCAUGAGCUGACAUACAGGCUAUUUAACCUUCAGUUUCUUCAACAAGGAUUAAAAAAUGAGGCCAUGAGGAAACACAUUCUACCAAUCAAGCAUGAUUUUGUGUGAUUCCUUUAGAUAAAACAUAAGAUUAAAGCAGCCCCAUGACGUUCUUGUCACGGCGAGCAGGUGGACCCGAGCAGAAAGCCACACUACCAAGGCUGGCUGAAUGAAAGUGAUUUAUUGUUGGGGGGGUGAAUAAUGG